GGCUCUUUACAUAUCACCAUGAAAAAAAUCUCAGAGAAAAAUACGGAUCAGGAUACUAUGUUGAGCAUGCUACAAUUAGUGCAAAACUGGACAAAAGGAAGAAUGUAUUAUAUAUAAAAUUUAUAUUUGCAUAAAACAUCACUGCAAGAUGACGCAUGAAACUGAAAGCAUUGGCUGCCUUGAGGGAGGAGGAGGAGUGUGUGCCUGAGAGACAGGGUGGAAGGGAGGUUUGUCAUGAUUGACUCGUUUCACUUUUCAAAUGUGGAACAAUAUGAGUAUGUUCCCUACUAAUAAAUGAAUGGUUAAAGUGUUUUAAAGAAUCCUUUGAAAUCAUAUGUUCAAAGAAAUACUCAAUUGUCUAAGUUGGAAGAA
rnacentral:lncRNA from 1 species